rnacentral:rRNA from 1 species
UACGUAGGGUGCAGGCGUUAAUCGGAAUUACUGGGCGUAAAGCGCGCGUAGGCGGGUUGGUAAGUCCGCUGUGAAAGCCCGGAGCUCAACUCCGGAGGGUCGGUGGAUACUGCCAGUCUUGAAGGUGCUAGGGGGAGAUGGAAUUACCGGUGUAGCGGUGAAAUGCGUAGAUAUCGGUAGGAACACCAGUGGCGAAGGCGGUCUCCUGGGGCAUUCUUGACGCUGAGGCGCGAAAGCUGGGGGAGCGAACGGG